rnacentral:rRNA from 1 species
GAUGAACGCUGGCGGCGUGCCUAAUACAUGCAAGUCGAGCGAACGGACGAGAAGCUUGCUUCUCUGAUGUUAGCGGCGGACGGGUGAGUAACACGUGGAUAACCUACCUAUCAGGCUGGGAUAACUUCGGGAAACCGGAGCUAAUACCGGAUGAUAUUUUGAACCGCAUGGUUCAAAAGUGAAAGACGGUCUUGCUGUCACUUAUAGAUGGAUCCGCGCUGCAUUAGCUAGUUGGUAAGGUAACGGCUUACCAAGGCAACGAGGCAUAGCCGACCUGAGAGGGGGAUAGGCCACACUGGAGGUGGGACACGGUCCAGACUCCUACGGGAGGCAGCAGUAGGGAAUCUUCCGCAAUGGGCGAAAGCCUGACGGAGCAACGCCGCGUGAGUGAUGAAGGUCUUCGGAUCGUAAAACUCUGUUAUGAGGGAAGAACAGAUGUGUAAGUAACUGUGCACAUCUUGACGGUACCUAAUCAGAAAGCCACGGCUAACUACGUG